AUUGAACGCUGGCGGCAGGCCUAACACAUGCAAGUCGAGCGAGCGGCGGACGGGUGAGUAAUGUAUGGGGACUGCCCGGUAGAGGGGGAUAACUACUGGAAACGGUGGCUAAUACCGCAUACUAUCGGAUGACCCAUAUGGGAUUAGCUAGUUGGUGGGGUAAAGGCUCACCUAGGCGACGAUCCCUAGCUGGUUUGAGAGGAUGACCAGCCACACUGGGACUGGUACACGGCCCCGACUCCUACGGAGGCCGCAGUGGGGAAUAUUGGACAAUGGGCGCAAGCCUGAUGCAGCCAUUCCGCGUGUAUGAAGAAGGCCUUAGGGUUGUAAAGUACUUUCCGCGGGGAAGCGUUACCCGCAGAAGAAGCACCGGCUAACUCCGUGCCAGCAGCCGCGGUAAUUC
rnacentral:rRNA from 1 species